rnacentral:rRNA from 1 species
AACGAACGCUGGCGGCAGGCCUAACACAUGCAAGUCGAGCGAGGACUUCGGUCCUAGCGGCGGACGGGUGAGUAACGCGUGGGAACGUGCCCUUUGCUUCGGAAUAGCCCUGGGAAACUGGGAGUAAUACCGGAUGAGCCCUUUGGGGGAAAGAUUUAUUGGCGAAGGAUCGGCCCGCGUUGGAUUAGGUAGUUGGUGGGGUAAUGGCCUACCACGCCGACGAUCCAUACCUGGUUUGAGAGGAUGAUCAGCCACACUGGGACUGAGACACGGCCCAGACUCCUACGGGAGGGAGCAGUGGGGAAUCGUAGACAAUGGGGGAAACCCUGAUGUAGCCAUGCCGGGUGAGCGAUGAAGGCCUUAGGGUUGUAAAGCUCUUUCAGCUGGGAAGAUAAUGACGGUACCAGCAGAAGAAGCCCCGGCUAACUCCGUG